AGUCCCUGGGCCGCUGCGAGGGCUGGAGGAGCUACUCAAAGACGCCCGCUAAAUGUUAACAGCGCUCAACACUGCUGCUUCAAACGCCUCCCCGGCCUUGUCAGCUUGACACGCGCGGCGGGUCGGAGGCUCACUGGACCAGAAACUUGUCUGGCAGGACGGACUGGUUGGCCCCGCGGCAUUCCAGCCCAGUGUCAUCACCUUGAAAACAGGAGAUGCUUUUGCCUCACUGGGCGUCCAGAGGUGCGUCGGCCAACAAUUCCGAUCACAACCGCAGCGCCGUCUCCCAGAAACUCAGUACUGAAUCUCACAAAGGUCACCACCUAGGAUCCCAACACAGUGUGAGAUGCUAUGGGACGCCGUUGCCCUCCAGCUAGUCUCUGAGCAGUGGUGGACCUUGGGCUGCCAAAGCGGGAACAGGAAGGGCACAAGAUCUGCAUUAAUUCUAGUCUUAAUCCUGUUAGAAGCCUCUACAGGUAUUAUCAAAGAGAAGAUGAGAACCUUGAACUGAGAGGACCUCACAAGCCUGUAGUGAAGGAAGACCCUGUUGCCAAGAUGAGGUGCAGACGGUGGAGUUAAUCAUUCUCCUCAGUUCCUACUUGGUGAAUGUUUCAUGCAUCCGUGUGAAGAGAGUCCACCAAACAGGCUUUGUGUCUUUACCUCUCAACUGAACCCUGAACUCCUGGAGAAUAGAUGCUGUCGGGAAAUCACCAGCUUCUCACAAAGCAAUGAUCGUUGAAUAAAUCCUUGUUAAAUAAUGACAGUUUUCCUUUUUGGAUUGCUGUGAUCUCUACUCCCAUCACGACUGCUAAGCCUUGGGCAGGAGACCUUGUAUUCCCAGCCAGCUAUUCUUCCCACCGCCAUCCGGAGGACUCAAUGGUAGGAGGGUCCUGUAGAUUAGAUAAAAAGCCACAAACAUCUCAGUAACCUCAAGUAG
rnacentral:lncRNA from 1 species